rnacentral:rRNA from 1 species
CCCGGGCGGGGGCCUAAUACAUGCAAGUCGAGCGAACCGAAUUAAGAGCUUGCUCUUAUGAAGUUAGCGGGCGGACGGGUGAGUAACACGUGGGUAACCUGCCCAUAAGACUGGGAUAACUCCGGGAAACCGGGGCUAAUACCGGAUAACAUUUUGCGCCGCAUGGCGCGAAAUUGAAAGGCGGCUUCGGCUGUCACUUAUGGAUGGACCCGCGUCGCAUUAGCUAGUUGGUGAGGUAACGGCUCACCAAGGCAACGAUGCGUAGCCGACCUGAGAGGGUGAUCGGCCACACUGGGACUGAGACACGGCCCAGACUCCUACGGGAGGCAGCAGUAGGGAAUCUUCCGCAAUGGACGAAAGUCUGACGGAGCAACGCCGCGUGAGUGAUGAAGGCUUUCGGGUCGUAAAACUCUGUUGUUAGGGAAGAACAAGUGCUAGUUGAAUAAGCUGGCACCUUGACGGUACCUAACCAGAAAGCCACGGCUAACUACGUGCCAGCAGCCGCGGUAAUACGUAGGUGGCAAGCGUUAUCCGGAAUUAUUGGGCGUAAAGCGCGCGCAGGUGGUUUCUUAAGUCUGAUGUGAAAGCCCACGGCUCAACCGUGGAGGGUCAUUGGAAACUGGGAGACUUGAGUGCAGAAGAGGAAAGUGGAAUUCCAUGUGUAGCGUGAAAUUCGCUAAAAAAAACC